GUUUCUGUUGAUGCUGUACAGGAGGGAUGUCAAAGUCAAAUACACAGAGGGCCAAAAAAACAAAUUUGCUACAAGCCGAGGGCCGGACUGGUUCAAUGUUUAUUAAAACACAUUGAAAUGAUUGCACAUAGCCUAUUGAACCAAGACCUAACACAGUGUAUAUUAUUUAAUGAAUACAUGAAUAAAGCAAUGUUUUGUUAU